ACGAACGCUGGCGGCGUGCUUAACACAUGCAAGUCGAACGGUGAACGAGGGAGCUUGCUCCCUCCGUAUCAGUGGCGAACGGGUGAGUAACCCGUGAGCAAUCUGCCCCGAACUCUGGGAUAAGCGUUGGAAACGACGUCUAAUACCGGAUACGACUCGGGCGGGCAUCCUCUCCGCGUGGAAAGAACUUCGGUUCGGGAUGAGCUCGCGGCCUAUCAGCUUGUUGGUGAGGUAACGGCUCACCAAGGCGACGACGGGUAGCCGGCCUGAGAGGGUGACCGGCCACACUGGGACUGAGACACGGCCCAGACUCCUACGGGAGGCAGCAGUGGGGAAUAUUGCACAAUGGGCGCAAGCCUGAUGCAGCAACGCCGCGUGAGGGACGACGGCCUUCGGGUUGUAAACCUCUUUUAGCAGGGAAGAAGCGAAAGUGACGGUACCUGCAGAAAAAGCACCGGCUAACUACGUG
rnacentral:rRNA from 1 species